rnacentral:rRNA from 1 species
UACAGAGGUCUCAAGCGUUGUUCGGAUUCAUUGGGCGUAAAGGGUGCGUAGGCGGCGCGGUAAGUCGGGUGUGAAAUCUCGGAGCUUAACUCCGAAACUGCAUUCGAUACUGCCGUGCUUGAGGACUGGAGAGGAGACUGGAAUUUACGGUGUAGCGGUGAAAUGAGUAGAUAUCGUAAGGAAGACCAGUGGCGAAGGCGGGUCUCUGGACAGUUCCUGACGCUGAGGCACGAAGGUCAGGGGAGCAAACGGG